rnacentral:rRNA from 1 species
GUUAAGGGUUCGUAGUUGAAUUGGGGGCUGACCGAGUAAACGGUGGCGCCGUUGCCCUGUUCGGGGCGUGCCAACCACCGUUCUCGCAGCUCGAGAACAUUCGAAACAAUUAUCACGGGUCGUUAUCCACCCAUCUUUACGCGUACAAUGUAUGCAGGGGGACGCCCGUGUUUAUUACUGUGCAAAAGAAGGGUGACCAAAGCAGUCAUUCGACGUGAAUUAGAAAGCAUGGGAUACAAAGGAGCGGCCUACGGGCUUCCAUUUUGGCUUUUGUUGGUUUUAAAAGUCUGUGGGAGUUGUGGACCCGCAAGAUCAGGCGGCGACACACAGUGUCUCGUCUUCUGUGGUUGGCGCAGCCUUCUGCAGACUUGUGUGGUCCAGGAAUGAAGGAGGGUUGUUCGGGGGAGAACGUACUUGGCGUGAGAGGUGAAAUUCAUAGACCGCUCAAAGACGAACUACAGCGAAGGCAUUCUCCAGGAUACCUUCCUCAAUCAAGAACCAAAGUGUGGAGAUCGAAGAUGAUUAGAUACCUUGUAGUCC